CGCGCGUCAGCGGCACUCUCGCGAGAAGAGCCUUGCGGGCCAGGAAGAUGGCGCCCCCCAGUCCCCGGGAGCCCAAGUCCCCGUCGGCCACUGGUGCCACCAAGCCCGACAGUGACAUGGUGCUGCCGGGCUUCCCGGACGCGGACAGCUUCGUGAAGUUCGCUCUUGGAUCAGUGGUGGCAGUCACGAAGGCAUCUGGAGGCUUACCACAGUUUGGUGAUGAGUAUGAUUUUUAUCGAAGUUUUCCUGGCUUCCAGGCAUUUUGUGAGACACAGGGAGACAGGUUGCUUCAAUGCAUGAGUAGGGUGAUGCAGUACCAUGGGUGUCGCAGCAACAUUAAGGAUCGGAGCAAGGUGACUGAGCUGGAGGACAAGUUUGAUUUAUUAGUGGACACCAAUGAUGUGAUUCUGGAGAGAGUGGGUAUUUUGCUGGAUGAAGCAUCAGGUGUGAAUAAGCAUCAACAACCUGUCCUCCCUGCAGGACUACAGGUCCCCAAAACAAUAGUGUCCAGCUGGAACCGGAAGGCAGGAGAAUAUGGCAGGAAAGCAAAAUCUGAAACUUUUCGACUACUUCAUGCAAAAAACAUUAUCCGACCUCAACUCAAGUUUCGAGAGAAGAUUGACAAUUCCAACACUCCGUUUCUUCCAAAGAUCUUCGUCAAGCCCAAUGCUCAGAAGCCGCUCCCUCCACCUCUUUCUAAAGAAAGGCGGGAACGCCCCCAGGACCGUCCUGAGGACUUGGAUGUACCCCCUGCCCUGGCGGAUUUCAUCCAUCAGCAGCGAACCCAGCAGGUUGAGCAGGACAUGUUUGCACAUCCUUAUCAAUAUGAACUAGAUCACUUCACACCCCCAGAGUCAGUGCUUCAGAAGCCACAACCCCAGUUGUACAGACCUGUAGAAGAAACACCCUGCCAUUUUGUAUCCUCCCUGGACAAACUUGUGGAACUCAACGAAAAACUCUUGAAUUGUCAAGAAUUUGCUGUAGACUUAGAGCACCACUCUUACAGGAGCUUCCUGGGACUCACCUGCCUGAUGCAGAUUUCCACCCGAACAGAAGACUUCAUCGUGGACACCCUGGAGCUUCGCAGUGACAUGUAUAUCCUCAACGAGAGCCUCACAGACCCAGCUAUUGUUAAGGUCUUCCAUGGUGCCGAUUCCGACAUUGAGUGGCUACAGAAAGACUUUGGGCUAUACGUAGUAAACAUGUUUGAUACCCACCAAGCAGCACGCCUUCUUAACCUGGGCAGGCACUCGCUCGAUCACCUGCUGAAACUCUACUGCAGCGUGGAAUCAAACAAGCAGUACCAGCUAGCUGACUGGAGGAUACGCCCUCUGCCUGAAGAAAUGCUCAGCUAUGCCCGGGACGACACCCAUUACUUGCUCUACAUCUACGACAGAAUGAGGGUAGAGCUGUGGGAGCGAGGUGGAGACCAGCCUGUCCAGUUGCAGGUGGUGUGGCAGCGGAGCAGGGACAUCUGCCUCAAGAAAUUUGUCAAACCUGUCUUCACUGAUGAGUCCUACCUUGAACUGUAUCGGAAGCAAAAGAAGCAUCUCAACUCGCAGCAGUUGACAGCUUUCCAGCUGCUUUUUGCCUGGAGGGAUAAAACAGCUCGAAGGGAGGAUGAAAGUUAUGGAUACGUACUGCCGAACCACAUGAUGCUGAAGAUAGCCGAAGAACUGCCCAAGGAACCGCAGGGCAUCAUAGCUUGCUGCAACCCAGUACCGCCUCUUGUACGACAGCAGAUCAAUGAAAUGCAUCUUUUAAUCCAACAGGCUCGAGAGAUGCCCCUGCUCAAGUCUGAAGCUGCAGCUGGAGUGAAGAAGAGCGGGCCGCUGCCCAGUGUCGAGAGGUUGGAGAAUGUUCUCUUUGGCCCUCAUGACUGUUCCCAUGCCACUCCAGAUGGCUACCCAGUCACACCCACUGCUAGAUCUGUGCCAGCUCAGAAACAGUCGGACCUCUUCACUAACCAAAAAGAGGAGACCUUGCUGGAUACCAAAUGCCUUCUCGCCACAGCCGUCAUCACAUUGUUUAAUGAACCUACUGCUGAGGAAAAUGGAAAGAGUCCAUUAACAGUUGCACAGAAAAAAGCCCAGAACAUAAUGGAGUCCUUUGAAAACCCAUUUAGGAUGUUCCUGCCUUCACUAGAGCACCGGGGCCACAUCUCUCAGGCAGCAAAGCUCGAUCCUUCCUCGAAGAUCUAUGAAAUCAGCAACCGUUGGAAGCUGGCCAGCCAGGUUCAGGUACAAAAAGAACCUAAAGAAACUGCCAAGAAGAAGGCAGCUGAGCAAACAGCUGCCCGGGAACAGGCAAAGGAAGAGUACAAAGCCGCAGCGGAGCAGGCCACCUCUGUGCGCCAGCAGGCAGUGAUGGCGCCUCCUGCUACUGAUAGCAAAUCUGCCAGAAGGCCCUUCUGUGGGUGGCAGUGUGGCCCCAGGAAAUGCUUCAUUCUCACCACCCCCAGAGCACUCUGGAAUUCUAACCCCUGCCUUUCUUAUUGACUGACAUCACUGUCCAGGUAGGAACUUGUUCCUGCUGGCACUAGCCAAAUGAGAGUGUCCUGAAGUGCCAGGCUGCUCGUACCCAGCCAUGGCCUCCCCCGCCCACCAAACCCAUGUUGAUAUGAUACAGGCAGCUGAGUCCCCAGCUGAUAGAGAUUGAGCCUCCCAACCUGAUAUCCAAAUCUAAAAUGCUCCCAAAUCCAAACUCCCUGAGCAGGCACACACCACCACAGGGGAACAUUCCACACCUUCGAACCUUGGCUUGUGCCAAAAAUGGUUUAGCAUACUGUGUCCAGUCCCGUUGAACUAUGUGCAUAGGGGCAUAGGAAGCACAGAAGAGGGCGGGGGGCGGGGUGGGGGGGCAUGCCUGGAGCCCUCUGCAGUAGGCUCACUCCUUCUACUGCAGAAAAGAAAAUGAAACAAAUGAUUCUGGUGUUUAGACUUGGGCCCCAUCCUAAGGUGCCCCAUCAUAUAAUGUGUAGAUGUUCCCCCAGAAAUCCAACCUGUGGCCCAGGCAUUCCUAGGCCCUCCUCACCUGUCACCGAAGCGGCAGGUCUUCCCCUCUCAGGCACUUCCUGCUUCCCUCCCCGGGUGUGCUCGCCCUGCAGCUAGAGCAUGCUGCUAAGAAGAGAGAGCGAACAACAAGCGACCCGAGGACCCUGGAGCAGAAACAGGAGAAGAAACGACUCAAGACUUCCAAGAAGCCAAAGGACUCAGAUCCAACAGAAAAAGAUUUUACCCCUUUUGACUACAGCCAGUCGGACUUCAAGGCUUUUGCUGGAGACAGCAAACCCAAACCUUCCUCCCAGUUUGACCCCAGUAAGCAAGCCGUGUCUGGCAAGAAGUGCUUUGCAGCCAAAAAACUGAAACAGUCAGUGGGAAACAAAAGCAUGUCCUUUCCAACUGGAAAAUCAGACAGAGGCUUUAGGUACAACUGGCCAAAGAGAUAGUGCUGGAAGAGACCCUUGGGACCCCAGGGACUGGAAGCACCAAAUGGUGGUGCUGCUUUUAUAUAAAUGCAUUUUUAAACCAUUAAAACUAAUUCCUUCUGGAA